GCUCCAAUAGCGUAUACUAAAGUUGUUGCAGUUAAAAAGCUCGUAGUUGAAUUUCUGGCUUGGCGGUGCGGUCGGCCCCGUGUGGGUCAGUACUUGCGCCGCGAGCCAUCCUCGGGGAAGGCGUAUCUGUCAUUCAGUUGAUGGGUACGAGACUCCGUCAUUUACUGUGAGCAAAAUAGAGUGUUCAAAGCAGCUUACGC
rnacentral:rRNA from 1 species